rnacentral:lncRNA from 10 species
GUGCAAUGGUGUGAUCUCGGCUCACUGCAACCUCUGCCUCCCAGGUUCAAGCAAUUCUCCUGCCUCAGCCUCCCAAGUAGCUGGGAUUACAGGCACCCGCCACCACGCCCAGCUAAUUUUUUUGUUUUUUUGUUUUUUUUGGAUUUUUAGUAGAGACGGGGUUUCACCAUGUUGGCCAGGCUGGUCUUGAACUCCUGAUGUCAGGUAAUCCAACCCCCCUCCCCACCGGCCUCCCAAAGUGCUAGGAUUACAGGUGUGAGCCACCACGCUCAGCCCGUUUUUGUCUUUUUGAUAUGAGAUCUCAUUCUGUUGCCCAGGCUGGAGUGCAGUGGUGUGAUAAUAGCUCACUGCAGCCUCCACCCUCUGGGCUCAAGAUGCUCCCACCUCAGCCUUUCAAAGUUUGGGGACUACAGAUGUGAGCCACAGCAUCCCAUCCAUUAUAUUCUUAAUGAUCUCUCUGUACAACUUAAAGUUUAUUUUUUCAACUCUGAGUACUUUUAAAGAUAUAUUAACUAGACAUUAGAUAAUAGGUAAAAGAGUAACACCUAAUCAUUUAUUAUUUGUUUAGAGAUGGAGUCUCACUCUGUUGCCCAGGCUGUUUUUUUUCCUUCAGCACUUUUAUUUUUAUGUUUUUGGACAGAGUCUGGCUCUGUCGCCCAGGCGGGAAUGCAGUGGCGCAAUCUUGGCUCACCGCAACCUCUGCCUCCCUGGUUCAAGCAAUUCUCAUGCCUCAGCCUCCCAAGCAGCUGGGACUACAGGCACACACCACCACGCCCAGCUAAUUUUUGUAUUUUUAGUAGAGAAGGGGUUUCAUCAUGUUGGCCAGGCUGGUCUGGAAUCCCUGGGCUCAGGUGACCUGCCCAGCUCGGCCUCCCAAAAUGCUGGGAUUACCACCUGACCUCAUUUAUUAUGUUAAAGACUGUUAGAGAUAAUGCUGAUUGCAAUAACCACAUUAACAAAGCCUAGUUGAAGAAGGCAGGCAUUUGAAAGUGGUUUAUUUUCUUAUUCAGUUUUGACAGUUCUUAAUUUAUUCUGAAUGUAAGUCCUUUGUUGGAUAUAUGAUUAGUAAAUAUUUUAUCCUGGCCAACACGGUGAA